rnacentral:lncRNA from 1 species
AAAGAGCACGCAGACAAUGGGGAGAGACAGAGAAACGUAAGCAGGCUCCACACUCAGCGCAGAGCUCAACGUGGGGAUCAAUCCCAUGUCUCUGGGAUCACGACCUGAGCCAAAAUCACGAGUCGGACCCUCAACCGACUGAGCCACCUGGGCACCCCUUGAGAGACUACUUUGGAAGCCAGAUCAUGGACGACCAAGUUCACUGCCUCAACUGCCCCAAACCAAAGUGCCCUUUGUGGCCACCGUAGUCAGGGGAAAGGACUAGUGCCAGAGGAAUCAUUUGCGUAUUAUGACCACGUUCUCCUCCAGUCCUCCCGGGACCUGAUGGGGGUGUGCUGACCUUGGCUCCCAUUCAUGCUGCCAGCUGUGAUGGCUCCACCAUGGGCAUGUGUGCCCGCCACGGUUAUGCCUUCUGUAUUCUGUGCCAACCGACCCCCCCUUAGAGCCCCUCCACAGGAGAUGACCGUAGGAUGUUGGGAUGUGUGAACUUGACAAACUAGAAAAAAAAAGCCUCUUCAUUUUAAUGACGUUUAUCAGCGCAGAGCAAGAACUCAGGAAGGUGGUUCUAGACAAAGGGAGAUGGAGAAAGACGAAGAGGACCAAGAGGAACAGGAGGAGAAGGAGGAGAGUAAAAACCUGGAAACUAACCCAAGUCCCCAGCACCCGCCCAGCGCAGAAACACGUGCGCUUUUGCAGAGGACCUACAGCUAGAGAGGGGACAGCGGAGCUUGACAGGCAGAGGUUGGCAAGCCCCACAGUCCAGGGCCAAAGGAAGGGCCGCGGGCAGUGCAAGCAUUCUUGGAUGCACAAAACUGGGGGCAGGGUUCUACACUUGUACUACCAACCUGAAUUCCUUACUACCAAUCUAGAAUAUUAGUUGCUUUCGCAAGAGACGGGUUGGGUUUUUUACAGCGUGGAUCUGAGCACCCACGGUGUUCUGCAAACCUUGCCUGAAGCUCCCGCUCCUGAUCGCCCAGAGAAGCUUGGUGGGCUCCGCUUUCAGCGCGUUAUUGCAAAACCCCAGAGCAAGCAGCACCCCCCCCCCCCACCUAGCUAAUCGUUUCGUCUGAAUCGCCAGCCCGGCUCGUGGACUCUGGGUGCGAAGGGAGCCGAACCAGAGAGUCCCGUCCAUUAACUACCGACUUCUCGGCGGGGAGAGGCGCGCUCAGAGCCCACACGGCGAGGGGGACCACCGUCGCUUCCGUGCUGGGGCUGCCAGGGGCCCCGCGCUUUCUCCAGCCCUCCCUCUGAGUCCCUCGCCCUGGAGGAGCUUAGGGCGACAGCCCUGCACCGACUUCGGUGCAGCGACAGCCCGGCGGUGAGACGUUCUCGCCACACUUCUCCCAGGGCUCUGGGGGCUGGUGGGAGGUUUCGUG